AUGGCCUCCUCAGAUCUGGAACAAUUAUGCUCUCAUAUUAAUGAAAAGAUUGCCAACAUUAAAAGAACUCUGUCACUAAGAAAUUGUGGUCAGGAACCUACCUUGAAGACUACAUUAGAUAAAAUAGGAGAUGAAAUCAUUGUAGUAAAUGAACUUCUAAAUAAAUUGGAAUUGGAGAUUCAAUAUCAAGAACAAACCAACCAUUCACUCAAGGAACUCUGUGAAUCUCUUGAAGAGGAUUAUAAAGAUGUGGAGCAUCUCAAAGAAAACAUUCCUCCCCAUUUGCCUCAAGUAACAGUAAGCAAGAACUUUGCUAAUGUGUCAGAUCUUGACCCUGAAGAACCAGUCAAAGUUGAGGAAACUGUACCCACAAAGAAGCCCCCAAAAGAACAAAGAAGUAUUAAAGAAAUGACGUUUAUAACUUGUGAUGAAUUUAAUGGCAUUCCAGCGUACAUGAAAUCUCGCUUAACCUACUGUCAAAUUAAUGAUGUUAUUAAAGAAAUCAACAAGGCGGUGGUUAGUAAAUAUAAGAUCCUACAUCAACCAAAAAAGUCAAUGAGUUCCGUGGCCAGAAAUCUCUAUCACAGAUUUAUUGACGAAGAAACAAAGGAUACCAAAGGUCAUUAUUUCAUAGUGGAAGCUGACAUAAAGGAGUUCACAGCUUUGAAAGCUGACAAGCGGUUUCACGUGAUCCUGAAUAUCUUACGACACUGCCGGAGGCUCUCAGAGGUCGGGGGGGGGGGGCCUUACCCGAUACGUUAUAACCUGAAGCACGUGGGAUUUUUUGAACUGGCUAACAAUAGGGUGUAGAGGCCACUCACAUAGUUUCCUUAUAUGUAAUUUCUUUAUAUAUAAAAUUGCUUUGGCUUUUUCAUUUUCUUUUCUAGCUUCCUAUAAAAACGAAACAUUUUAGUAAGUAAAGCAUAUAUAUUUUAAAAUUCACUUUCUUUCAGCACAUAUUUAACCCCCUACCACAUAAGCCUCUGUGCUAGGCAUAUAAUGGAACUAAAAAAUAUUCAUGGUUAGUUUUUGUGUUUAGUGACAGUGCUGCAGACCUCAGGAAGACAGAUACACAUGUGAUAAUGGAAGGAAAAGGUCAAGAAGAUAAGGUCAAGGGUACCCAGGCUUUUUUUUUUUUUUUUU